rnacentral:rRNA from 1 species
AAACUUAAAUGAAUUGACGGGACCCGCACAAGCGGUGGAUGAUGUGGUUUAAUUCGAUGCAACGCGAAAACCUUACCCACCUUUGACAUGGCAGGAAUCCCGAAGAGAUUUGGGAGUGCUCGAAAGAGAACCUGCACACAGGCGCUGCAUGGCUGUCGUCAGCUCGUGUCGUGAGAUGUUGGGUUAAGUCCCGCAACGAGCGCAACCCUUGCCAUUAGUUGCUACGAAAGGGCACUCUAAUGGGACUGCCGGUGACAAACCGGAGGAAGGUGGGGAUGACGUCAAGUCCUCAUGGCCCUUAUAGGUGGGGCUACACACGUCAUACAAUGGCCGGUACAGAGGGUAGCCAACCCGCGAGGGGGAGCCAAUCCCACAAAGCCGGUCGUAGUCCGGAUCGCAGUCUGCAACUCGACUGCGUGAAGUCGGAAUCGCUAGUAAUCGCGGAUCAGCAUGUCGCGGUGAAUACGUUCCCGGGUCUU